AGCUUGUUGGUAGGGUAACGGCCUACCAAGGCUACGAUGGUUAGCUGGUCUGAGAGGAUGAUCAGCCACACUGGAACUGACACACGGUCCAGACUCCUACGGGAGGCAGCAGUGAGGAAUUUUGCGCAAUGGGGGAAACCCUGACGCAGCAACGCCGCGUGAGUGAUGAAGGCUUUCGGGUCGUAAAGCUCUGUCAAGUGGGAAGAACUUGUCUGGUGCGAAUACCACCGGGCACUGACGGUACCACUGAAGGAAGCACCGGCUACUCCGUGCCAGCAGCCGCGGUAAUACGGGGGGUGCAAGCGUUAUUCGGAAUCAUUGGGCGUAAAGGGCGCGUAGGCGGCCUCUUAAGUCAGAUGUGAAAGCCCGGGGCUUAACCCCGGAAGUGCAUUUGAAACUGAGAAGCUUGAGUAUGGGAGAGGGAAGUGGAAUUCCUGGUGUAGAGGUGAAAUUCGUAGAUAUCAGGAGGAACACCGGUGGCGAAGGCGGCUUCCUGGACCAAUACUGACGCUGAGGCGCGAAGGCGUGGGUAGCAAACAGGAUUAGAUACCCUGGUAGUCCACGCAGUAAACGUUGAACACUAGGUGUAGCGGGUAUUGACCCCUGCUGUGCCGCAGUUAACGCAUUAAGUGUUCCGCCUGGGAAGUACGGCCGCAAGGUUAAAACUCAAAGGAAUUGACGGGGGCCCGCACAAGCGGUGGAGCAUGUGGUUUAAUUCGACGCAACGCGAAGAACCUUACCUGGGUUUGACAUCCCGAGAAGUCUCUUGAAAGAGAGAUGUGCCCUUCGGGGAAUUCGGAGACAGGUGCUGCAUGGCUGUCGUCAGCUCGUGUCGUGAGAUGUUGGGUUAAGUCCCGCAACGAGCGCAACCCUUAUCUUUAGUUACCAGCAUUCAGUUGGGGACUCUAAAGAUACUGCCCCGGUUAACGGGGAGGAAGGUGGGGAUGACGUCAAGUCCUCAUGGCCCUUAUACCCAGGGCUACACACGUGCUACAAUGGGCUAUACAAAGGGUCGCGAGCCCGCGAGGGUUAGCUAAUCCCAUAAAGCAGCUCUAAGUUCGGAUUGGAGUCUGCAACUCGACUCCAUGAAGCUGGAAUCGCUAGUAAUCGUGGAUCAGCACGCCACGGUGAAUACGUUCCCGGGCCUUGUACACACCGCCCGUCACACCAUGAGAGUUGGUUGUACCAGAAGUUGUUGGACCAACCCGCAAGGGGGGUAAGCACCUAAGGUAUGGCUGAUGAUUGGGGUGAAGUCGUAACAAGGUA
rnacentral:rRNA from 1 species